rnacentral:rRNA from 1 species
ACCUUGUUCAGAACUUAAAGAGAAAUCUCGAGUUUAUGGACUUCAGGGGGAGUAUGGUCACAAGGCUGAAACUUAAAGGAAUUGACGGAAGGGCACACCAGGAGUGGAGCCUGCGGCUUAAUUUGACUCAACACGGGAAAACUUACCAAGACCGAACAGUAGAAGGAAUGACAGAUUAAGAGUUCUUUCAUGAUUUAUUGGGUAGUGGUGCAUGGCCGUUCUUAGUUGGUGGAGUGAUUUGUCAGGUUAAUUCCGGUAACGAACGAGACUGAAACCUAUUAAUUAGUUUCCUGCCUAUACGACAGGAAUCUCCGCAAGGUCAGGUGCCUCGGUACCACUUCUUAAAGGGACACAUUUCAAUUGUCUCAUUUUAAUCGAUGUCUCUGGCUCCGGUCAGAACUCUUUUAACGUGAGAAAAAGAAAAAGGAAGCAUUCAGCAAUAACAGGUCUGUGAUGCCCUUAGACAUCUUGGGCCGCACGCGCGCUACAAUGGAGUUACUAGAGAGUAUUUUAUCAUCCAACCCUUAU